UGGCACAUAGCUGCCAUUGAAAUGGUUGUGCACCGUCAUAGGGUGUCGGGGGUCGGAGGUUCAAAUCCUCUCGUGCCGACCA
rnacentral:tRNA from 1 species